GUCAGGAGUUCAAAAACCAGCCUGACCAUCAUGGUGAAACCCCGUCUCUUUAAAACAAACAAACAAACAAACAAAAAACCAUACAACUCCAUAUCUCUAGAUCUUUACUCAAGAUUCGGUCUGGAGCGCAAUACUUGUUCCAAAUAACCUCCCCAGGUGACUCCACUUUGUAGCUAGACUAACCUGCUGAAAUAGACAGGUCUGUUGCACUGCAAGCUUUGAGAACAGCUUGGACCAAACCACACAGUGGCCCUAAAGGCAUAGAAAUGAUACUGAAAGCAGCGAUGGCUCAACUAAUAUCACGAGGUCUAUGCAUGAGGCUGCCUACUUUGAUUUGCAGAAGUUGAUACUUUAAAACUUCAGUCCUGGCUCAUCUGCCUGUCAUAGGGUUUCCAGGGCUUCCAAUACUGAGCCAGGGAGAGCUAGCUCCACCAGCAGCACACACUGCUACUACAUGUGGACAGUUGGACUGUUUUUUAAAAGCACAAACUCAACAUUUUUAGAUCUUCAUCUAGGAUUCUGACUUGAAAACAAUUCUUGUUAACAAACAGACUCUCCGUGGUGAACAAGGAGGUGAACAAGCUGAGACUGUAAGGGCCAGUGAAAGCAAUACUUGGCUGUGAAACGCUGUCCUGUUCGUAAUGGAUUCACCUCCAGGAACUUAAUACGUGGACAUGCAUUUUAACUGCUGCUUUUAUGACAUCCCUUAAAAAAUUAGUUCUGUGAAAUUCCCUUGCCAGUUUUGCUUGGAAUAUGCUUCCUUUAGUUUUCUACGUAAUAUAAUCUUGUAGCCCACAUCGCGGAAACCCAGACAUCCGCAGUUUGUCAUGUGUGUUUCAUUGUCACUUUUGAUUACUUGAGGCCAGCUGAGAUCUAUGUGGAUACCAAAUUUCUUGCUACUUCUUGGUAGCCUGUGCUAUUAGCAAUUAAGUUUAAUGAUCAAUGGCUUCAAAGUAAAGCACACUGUUUGGUGUUAUGACCCAUUCCAUUACUAUAAUCUUGAAAUAUCUAGUUCUUUUAUCAGGAAUGAUAGAAAAUAUUCCCAUUUUCUCCUAAAUUAAAUGAAGACCUCAUGUUCAUGUGACUCUCAUAGGAUUUGAUAGUAUAUAUUAUUUAAUUACUUAAUAUCCACUAAUUAGGCUCUUUUCCUUCUAAAGAUGAAUGUCCUCCAAAUGACACAUUGUAACUUUCGAAAAGACAGUUGGUGCCAGAUGAGAUUAAAAAUGCAGUUACUAUACUAGAUAUUACUCACCUUAUGCUUUGGUAAACACUCCUUUAAUAACUAUUUGUUGGUUUCUCAAAAGCAAAAUUCCAUAUUAAACAGGCAAUUCAAAUGUGACAAUUCCUCUGUAAUAAAGAAGCUGAAUUUCUGUAAUAAGUGGGAAGCAUUCAUUCCAGUCUUCUCAGGUACCAGAAUCAUAGACUUCAGUAGAAGAGAGGGAAAUGGGAGGGAGGUGGGAGGCUGAUCUGUUCCUGGCCUAGCAGGGUGCCGUAAUUCCUGACCCUUCCAGAUCGUUGCAGAGUAAUGCUUGAAGCAUGUGAUUUUGGAUGUCUGCUGCUUUAAAAGGUCCAGUUGCUUUCCAACCAAAUCCAUAGACUCAAUCUACCCAUGUGUUUGUCUAAUAAAUUCUUUUUGUAAUAAAUUCAUUUUUAUU